GACGAACGCUGGCGGCGUGCUUAACACAUGCAAGUCGAACGGUGAAGCGAGUGCUUGCACUCGUGGAUCAGUGGCGAACGGGUGAGUAACACGUGAGUAACCUGCCCAUCACUCUGGGAUAAGCACUGGAAACGGUGUCUAAUACUGGAUACGACCAACCCUUCCAUGGGGUGUUGGGGGAAAUAUUUAUCGGUGAUGGAUGGACUCGCGGCGUAUCAGCUUGUUGUCGGGGUAAUGGCGCACCAAGGCGACGACGGUUAGCCGGCAUGAGAGGGUGACCGGCCACACUGGGACUGAGAGACGGCCCAGACUCCUACGGGAGGCAGCAGUGGGGAAUAUUGCACAAUGGGCGAAAGCCUGAUGCAGAGACGCCGCGUGAGGGAUGACGGCCUUCGGGUUGUAAACCUCUUUCAGCAGGGAAGAAGCGAAAGUGACGGUACCUGCAGAAGAAGCACCGGCUAACUACGUG
rnacentral:rRNA from 1 species